GGAUUUAGAAAGUACUAAUGAUAAUAUAAAACAAAAAAUACAAAAAACAGGUAACUCUUCAGCAUUAAACAUAAACAUGUCAGGAAAUGUAGUUGAUAAUUACGAAUUAAAUAACAAAUCAUUGGUACAUAGUUUAUUACAUUUAGUGGAAAAGACAAGAGAUAAACAUGUAUAUGGAUUAUAUAAAAAACAUGAAAAAAUGAGCGAACAUUCUGAUAUACACAAAAUGAGUAGUAAAAAUGUUUUAGAUAGAAAGGGUGACAAUUGGAACGAUAGUAAGAGUGAUAUAAGCAAAAAAGAACAUGUGACAAAAUAUGAUAUAACUAUAGAAGAUGCAACUGCAGAAAAAAUUACUUUAGAAAAAACAAAUAGUAAAGAAGCUUGUAGUAAUGACAUUAUUAGUAACAUAGCUAACUAUACAACACAACACAUGCUUACAGGUGUAAAAGAAGAAAAUAAAAACGAGUGCCCAAGUUUUAGUUCUAUAAAUAAAAAUGAUAGCAAUACCAAUAAAAAUGCUUUUGUAAAUAAUAACGAAAAUAAUAAUGACAGUUAUAAUAAUAGAAUAACAAAAAGGAAAAAAAAAAUUAGUCUUAGUAAAUUUCUUAUUAAAAAAUAUAUUGUUAAACUAAAAAUGAGUGAAAAACAAAAUUCAGAAAACAUAAAUGAAUUGAGUUUAAUAAAUAAACAAAAACACCCAUCAUGCACAACAAGAAAUAUAAUGCAGGGACAAAAAACAAAAGAAAAUGAAGCGACAUCAUUAAAAAGUGACAAAAAUAAGAAUUUGUUCGAACUGAGCAACAACAUAUUAUGUAACAAUCAAAUGAAGGAUAACCAAACGAGGAAUGACUCAAUAUAUGAAACUUAUGUAAAUAUAAAUAAUAAAACCGAUGAUAAAAAUAUACCAUGUUUUAAAUAUGUAAGAGAUUAUAAAUCUUCUGCUUUUGCAAUAAAUGAAAAUGAUUCACUAUCAUAUGUUUUAGGUGUUUCCAAAAAAAAAAAAUUAGCAUUUAUAUUUCCAACAAUAUCCAAGAAAAUUGUUUUUUCAAAAACUGGUCAGCAAAAAAGAAAAAACUAUUUGUAUUUAAAGGAGUAGUUAAAUUUUACAUGUUCCAUAAAUCAUAUUUACAAAAAAAAAGGGGUGGGAAGGGAGGUUACUAUAGAUAUUGUGGGUAAUUACUAUCACAUGCGUUGGUGCCAUAAAUAAAAUAUAAAAA
rnacentral:lncRNA from 1 species